UUAUUAAUAGUUAUGACCUUUAAAGUUAAAAAAUUUGGCGGUAUUUUAGUCUGUUCAGAGGAACCUGUCUUUUAAUCGAUAGUCCACGAUUAGUUUAACUUUAGUUUAUUAAUUUAUAUAUCGUUGUUUUUAAAGAUUUUAGGAGAAUUUAAAUUUUUGAUAUAUUCUAUUAUAUUUUAUUUCAGAUCAAGGUGUAGUUUAUACUAGAGAUUUGAUGGGUUACAUUGUUUUUAGGCGUGGUUUUUAAUUUUAUAAGUUAGGAUAAAUUGGAUUUGAUAGUAAAUAUUAUGUUUAUGUAUUUUGAUUUAGCUCUAAAAUAUGCACACAUCGCC
rnacentral:rRNA from 1 species